rnacentral:rRNA from 1 species
UACGGGGGGGGCAAGCGUUGUUCGGAAUUACUGGGCGUAAAGGGCUCGUAGGCGGCCAACUAAGUCGGACGUGAAAUCCCUCAGCUUAACUGGGGAACUGCGUCCGAUACUGGAUGGCUUGGAUUUGGGAGAGGGAUGCGGAAUUCCAGGUGUAGCGGUGAAAUGCGUAGAUAUCCGAAGGAACAUCAGUGGCGAAAGCGGCUUCCUGGACCAGAACUGACGAUCAGGCUCGAAAGCGUGGGGAGCAAACAGG